rnacentral:rRNA from 1 species
GAUGAACGCUGGCGGCGUGCCUAAUACAUGCAAGUCGAGCGAACGGACGAGAAGCUUGCUUCUCUGAUGUUAGCGGCUGACGGGUGAGUAACACGUGGAUAACCUACCUAUAUUACUUGGAUAACUUCGGGAAACCGGAGCUAAUACCGGAUGAUAUUUUGAACCGCAUGGUUCAAAAGUGAAUGACGGUCUUGCUGUCACUUAUAGAUGGAUCCGCGCUGCAUUAGCUAGUUGGUAAGGUAACGGCUUACCAAGGCAACGAUGCAUAGCCGACCUGAGAGGGUGAUCGGCCACACUGGAACUGAGACACGGUCCAGACUCCUACGGGAGGCAGCAGUAGGGAAUCUUCCGCAAUGGGCGAAAGCCUGACGGAGCAACGCCGCGUGAGUGAUGAAGGUCUUCGGAUCGUAAAACUCUGUUAUUAGGGAAGAACAUAUGUGUAAGUAACUGUGCACAUCUUGACGGUACCUAAUCAGAAAGCCACGGCUAACUACGUG